rnacentral:misc_RNA from 1 species
UCUCCGUUGGUGAACCAGCGGAGGGAUCAUUACCGAGUUUACAAACUCCCAAACCCUUUGUGAACCUUACCUAUCGUUGCUUCGGCGGGACCGCCCCGGCGCCUUCGGGCCCGGAACCAGGCGCCCGCCGGAGGCCCACAAUUCUAUGUUUUAUAGCGAAGUCUUCUCUCUGAGUAAUACAAGCAAAUAAAUUAAAACUUUCAACAACGGAUCUCUUGGUUCUG